UACAGAGGGUGCAAGCGUUGUUCGGAAUUACUGGGCGUAAAGCGCGUGUAGGCGGUCUGGCAAGUCGGUCGUGAAAGCCCUUGGCUUAACCAAGGAACUGCGAUCGAAACUACUAGACUUGAGUAUCGGAGGGGGUGGCGGAAUUCCCGGUGUAGAGGUGAAAUUCGUAGAUAUCGGGAGGAACACCUGUGGCGAAGGCGGCCACCUGGAAGAUAACUGACGCUGAGACGCGAAAGCGUGGGGAGCAAACAGG
rnacentral:rRNA from 2 species